CUAAUUAAUUUGGGGUUGUUUUCCACCAUGGGUUCUCGCUUGCGCAGGGAAAUGGAGAUGGCUCAACAAGGAGGUCGGUCGAGCAAGAGAAGCGGGCAGGGGUCCUCGACGUCGGGCGGGCUCCGGCGAACUCCAGCGAACUCCGGCGACGAUGGCAAACUCUGGCAACAACGGUGAGCGAGAGAGUGCGAGGAAAUGAGAGUGAG
rnacentral:lncRNA from 7 species